GAGGGUAUAGCUCAGUGGUAGAGCGCAUGCUUAGCAUGCAUGAGGUCCUGUGUGCAAUCCCCAGUACCUCCU
rnacentral:tRNA from 1 species